GGCCCCGUAGCUCAACUGGCAGAGCAAGCGACUCUUAAUCGUUAGGUUACAGGUUCGAGUCCUGUCGGGGUCA
rnacentral:tRNA from 1 species